CAUGGAGUCCGGAUCCUCUGCCUCCGGGAGGCAGAGAGUCUCUGCCUCCCGCAAUCUCAUUGGUCCACCUCACCGCUCCUGCCACAUGGAUCUCAUCAAAGCGGAAGAAAAAGAGGGGUUUUUCCUUUUGACGAUCGGAGGCCCUCUUUCCCCAAUCUCUCAGAAUUCCUUUCGCCCAUUUUCCACCGAGCAGCCGAUAGUCGAUUUCUACUAUUUCGUCUAUUCAUCCAUCGAAGAUCCACCCCACCUCACAGGCUUGUCGGUUGAUAACAAUUCGCAAGGAGUAUAACAGCUAUAUGGAGCUCUUUCUGCUCAAAUGUGGUUGGGGAUGAUCUUCUCAGGAGUUUUUUUUUUUUUUUUUUUUUAGGUCCAAUGAAUGCAAUUGUUGCAUGGUAGCCUGUUAACAGUUUAGAUUGUUCAAUUAGAGUAUCCAAGUUAUGGAUUGGAUCAUCCUAUCAAUACAAUAAAACCAAAUCAGGCAACAGGUGCAAUAGGGCCAAAUCAAGGAUUGAUAAAGGCUUCUGUUUUUUUCUUUUUUCUUUUUUGUGUGGUGGCCUGUUAAAUGUGUUUUGGAUUUAAUGGACAAUUCAAAUUGUUCAA